GUAUACAUUUCGUUGUCUUUUUUUCUUCACAUUAAGAAAAAAGAUGUUUUUGGUGAGCCAAACAAAUCUUUGUAGAUAAAUUCGUAGUGUGACCAAUUUAGCCACUGCUGUUAGUCUCCUUCAGACAAGU
rnacentral:snoRNA from 1 species